rnacentral:rRNA from 1 species
GGUAACACUGACUGGAGGACCGAACCGACUACCGUUGAAAAGUUAGCGGAUGACCUGUGGAUCGGAGUGAAAGGCUAAUCAAGCUCGGAGAUAGCUGGUUCUCCUCGAAAGCUAUUUAGGUAGCGCCUCAUGUAUCACUGUAGGGGGUAGAGCACUGUUUCGGCUAGGGGGGCAUCCCGACUUACCAAACCGAUGCAAACUCCGAAUACCUACAAGUGCCGAGCAUGGGAGACACACGGCGGGUGCUAACGUCCGUCGUGAAAAGGGAAACAACCCAGACCGUCAGCUAAGGUCCCAAAGUUAUGGUUAAGUGGGAAACGAUGUGGGAAGGCUUAGAC